GAUAAAAUUUCUGAUAGGUCCCUAAUGAUCAUAGACUCAGAUAUUUAAGUUAACAGUAUUUGAGUCUGAUGAAUCAUUAGGUUCCAAUCAUAAAUUUUUC
rnacentral:pre_miRNA from 1 species